rnacentral:rRNA from 1 species
UAAAGGAAGCGAUUCCGGCUACGGAUGGUCAUGCGUCGCAUUAGCUAGUUGGCGGGGUAACGGCCCACCAAGGCGACGAUGCGUAGGGGUUCUGAGAGGAAGGUCCCCCACACUGGUACUGAGACACGGACCAGACUCCUACGGGAGGCAGCAGUGAGGAAUAUUGGUCAAUGGCCGCAGGGCUGAACCAGCCAAGUCGCGUGAGGGAUGACGGUCCUAUGGAUUGUAAACCUCUUUUGUCAGGGAGCAAAGGACGCCACGUGUGGCGUUUUGCGAGUACCUGAAGAAAAAGCAUCGGCUAACUCCGUGCCAGCAGCCGCGGUAAUACGGAGGAUGCGAGCGUUAUCCGGAUUUAUUGGGUUUAAAGGGUGCGCAGGCGGAAUGUCAAGUCAGCGGUAAAAUUUCGGGGCUCAACCCCGUCGUGCCGUUGAAACUGGCGUUCUUGAGUGAGCGAGAAGUAUGCGGAAUGCGUGGUGUAGCGGUGAAAUGCAUAGAUAUCACGCAGAACUCCGAUUGCGAAGGCAGCAUACCGGCGCUCAACUGACGCUCAUGCACGAAAGCGUGGGUAUCGAACAGGAUUAGAUACCCUGGUAGUCCACGCAGUAAACGAUGAAUACUAACUGUCCGGG